rnacentral:rRNA from 1 species
UACCAGCACCCCGAGUGGUCGGGACGUUUAUUGGGCGUAAAGGGCGCGUAGGCGGUCACGCACGUCCGUUGUGAAAUCGCUCGGCUCAACUGGGCGGGGUCAGCGGAUACGGCGUGGCUGGAGCAAGCUAGGGGGCAAUGGAAUUCCCGGUGUAGUGGUGGAAUGCGUAGAUAUCGGGAGGAACACCAGUGGCGAAGGCGGUUGCCUGGAGCUUUGCUGACGCUGAUGCGCGAAAGCGUGGGGAGCAAACAGG